AUAAGGACUAACCUGAUGACCCCUUAACCUCAUCCCUCCCAUGCUGCGGAACAGGCCUACAAUGACCAUCUAUGUAGAGGAUAUCUGCAUGCCACUGGUGGAUGUUGGCCUUUCAAGUCCAAUAAGUGCUGUGAAAUAUCAACUGUGUACAUGCCCCUGCAUAACCUGUGUCUGGAUUCAAACGUUCCACUGAUAGAGGAAUUGGUUGGAAAUGAGAUGGAACCGGAAGUUAUGAACAACACACCAGUACAUCGAGCAGCAUGUGAUAAGAGGCAGCAGCUGAUCAAACUGUUUCAUAAAAUGUGUUAAAAAUUUAUAGUUAUAAAUGUUAUAAAGUGA